UCUGAUGCUGCUUUCUCAGUGGUCCU
rnacentral:piRNA from 1 species